UUCACACCCAUAUUGUCCAAUCCCUCUCACCCCACGCAUGAUACUGUAGAGCAGAGGUGUCAAAAGUAACAGGCCCGUGAACAGGUUUUAUCCAGCCAGCAAGAUGAUUUUGGUCCGCAUGGAGCUGGAGAGGGCGUGGCCUCCAACUCCGGCUGAAUUUCGGGAGAAAAUUUCUUCCGGGAGGUUUUCGGGAGAGGUGCUGAAUUUCGGGAGUCUCCCAGAAAAUCCGGGAGGGUUGGCAAGUAUUCAUGAGAUGACCUUCUAAUUGCCUCACACAACACCCUGGCCUCUGUCAAACCAGCUGGGAGACACAUCUGUCAGCAUGCUAGACAGUGAUGUUACUGUGUGUGUGUGUGUGUGCGUGCAUGCGUGCGUGUGUGUGUGCGUGUGAGCAUGCGUGCGCAUGCAUGUGUGUGAUGCUGCAAGUCGUGCAGAUGCUUUAUUAAUUUUAUUAAACAUUGUAGAGUGAA